UACGUAGGGUGCAAGCGUUGUCCGGAAUUAUUGGGCGUAAAGAGCUCGUAGGCGGUUCGUCGCGUCGGCUGUGAAAACCCGGAGCUCAACUCCGGGCCUGCAGUCGAUACGGGCGGACUUGAGUGUUGCAGGGGAGACUGGAAUUCCUGGUGUAGCGGUGAAAUGCGUAGAUAUCGGGAGGAACACCUGAGGCGAAGGCGGGCUACUGGGCCGAUACUGACGCUGAUGCGCGAAAGCCAGGGGAGCGAACGGG
rnacentral:rRNA from 1 species